GUGAUCGAGCGACGCCGCGUGCAGGAUGAAGGCCUUCGGGUCGUAAACUGCUGUCACACGUUAUGAAACUGUACGAACUAAUACUUCGUACCUUGACAAAGGUGUGAAAGGAAGCCACGGCUAACUUCGUGCCAGCAGCCGCGGUAAGACGAAGGUGGCUAGCGUUGCUCGGAUUUACUGGGCAUAAAGCGCGCGUAGGUGGUCGUGUAAGCGGGGGAUGAAAGCCCAUGGCUCACCCAUGGAACUGUCCCCCGGACUGCACGGCUCGAGGAAGGAAGGGGAGAAUGGAAUUCCCGGUGUAGCGGUGAAAUGCGUAGAUAUCGGGAGGAACGCCGGUGGCGAAAGCGAUUCUCUGGUCCUUUCCUGACACUGAGGCGCGAAAGCUAGGGGAGCAAACAGGAUUAGAUACCCUGGUAGUCCUAGCUGUAAACGAU
rnacentral:rRNA from 1 species